GAUGAACGCUGGCGGCGUGCUUAACACAUGCAAGUCGAACGGAAAGGCUCCUGCUUGCAGGGGUACUCGAGUGGCGAACGGGUGAGUAACACGUGGGUGAUCUGCCCUGCACUUCGGGAUAAGCCUGGGAAACUGGGUCUAAUACCGGAUAGGACGAUGGUUUGGAUGCCAUUGUGGAAAGUUUUUUCGGUGUGGGAUGAGCUCGCGGCCUAUCAGCUUGUUGGUGGGGUAAUGGCCUACCAAGGCGUCGACGGGUAGCCGGCCUGAGAGGGUGUACGGCCACAUUGGGACUGAGAUACGGCCCAGACUCCUACGGGAGGCAGCAGUGGGGAAUAUUGCACAAUGGGCGCAAGCCUGAUGCAGCGACGCCGCGUGGGGGAUGACGGCCUUCGGGUUGUAAACUCCUUUCGCUAGGGACGAAGCGCAAGUGACGGUACCUGGAGAAGAAGCACCGGCUAACUACGUGC
rnacentral:rRNA from 1 species